rnacentral:rRNA from 1 species
UAAGGAAUAUUGGUCAAUGGACGCAAGUCUGAACCAGCCAUGCCGCGUGGAGGAUGAAGGUCCUCUGGAUUGUAAACUUCUUUUAUUUGGGAAGAAACCCAUCUUUUCUUGGAUGGUUGACGGUACCAGAUGAAUAAGCACCGGCUAACUCCGUGCCAGCAGCCGCGGUAAUACGGAGGGUGCAAGCGUUAUCCGGAUUCACUGGGUUUAAAGGGUGCGUAGGUGGGCAAGUAAGUCAGUGGUGAAAUCUCCGGGCUUAACCCGGAAACUGCCAUUGAUACUAUUUGUCUUGAAUACUGUGGAGGUCAGCGGAAUAUGUCAUGUAGCGGUGAAAUGCUUAGAUAUGACAUAGAACACCAAUUGCGAAGGCAGCUGGCUACACAAAUAUUGACACUGAGGCACGAAAGCGUGGGGAUCAAACAGG